GUGCCAGCAGCCGCGGUAACACCGGCACCCCAAGUGGUCGCCACUUUUAUUGGGCCUAAAACGUCCGUAGCCUGUUUGGUAAAAUCUGGGGGUAAAUCAACCAGCUUAACUGGUUGGAUUCCGCGGACACUGCCAGACUAGGGACCGGGAGAGGUGAGGGGUACUCUGCGGGGGAGGGGUAAAAUCGUGUCAUCCUUGCAGGAACCACCAGUGGCGAAGGCCCCCACUGGAACCGAUUCUAACGGCGAGGAACAAACCCAUGGGCCCCGACCGGAAUAAAAUCCCCGGGAAUCCUAGGGGUAAACCCCUGCUAAUUGGUGGCUGGAAAUCCUACUGGGGUGUCCGUGGCUGAGUGAAAAGGUUUAAUUCACUGCCCGGGGAAGACCGGCCCCAGGAUUAAACUUUAAAGAAUUGGCGGGGGAACCCUUGCAACGGGAGGAGCGUGCGGUUUAAUUGGAUUCAACGCCGGAAAACUCACCAAGGGCGACGGUUACAUGAAGAUCAAGGUAAUGAGUUUAUCGGAUUUUCAGAGAGGUGGUGCAUGGCCGUCGUCAGUUCGUACCGUAAAGCGUUCUGUUAAGUCAGAUAACGAACGAGACCUUCAUCUCCAUUUGCUAUCCCAUUCUCCGGAAGGGGAGCACUAUAGAGAGACCGCCGGAGUGAAACCAGAGGAAGGAGGGGGCAACGGCAGGCCAGUAUGCCCCGAAUCUCCCGGGCUACACGCGCGCUACAAAGGACAGGACAAUGGGAUGCUAGGCCGAGAGGCAUUCACGCUAACCCGAAACCUGUUCAUAGUUCGGAUUGAGGGCUGUAACUCGCCCUCAUGAAGCUGGAUUCCGUAGUAAUCGUGUUUCAAUAUAGCACGGUGAAUAUGCCCCUGCUCCUUGCACACACCGCCCGUC
rnacentral:rRNA from 1 species